rnacentral:rRNA from 1 species
CUAACUAUAAACGAUGCCGACUAGGGAUCGGUGGGCGUUAAUAUAAAAUUGUUAGAGUCUAGUCUUGCGAAAAUAUUUUUUCAUUAAAAUUUUUCCAAGGCUUUUCUAACAAGAAAUGACCCCAUCGGCACCUCAAUUUGAUACUUCUCAAUGGGAAACCAAAGUUUUUGGGUUCCGGGGGGAGUAUGGUCGCAAGGCUGAAACUUAAAGGAAUUGACGGAAGGGCACCACCAGGAGUGGAGUUUGCGGCUUAAUUUGACUCAACACGGGAAAACUCACCAGGCCCAGACAUGGUAAGGAUUGACAGAUUGAGAGCUCUUUCUUGAUUCCAUGAAAGGUGGCGCAUGGCCGUUCUUAGUUGGUGGAGUGAUUUGUCUGGUUAAUUCCGUUAACGAACGAGACCUUGGCCUGCUAACUAGGGGGGGUUAUCGUUUGGAUAAGUUUAAUAGAGUUAGUGAGGUUUUUAGUUUUAUCUUUCGGGGUAAUUCUAAGCUUUCUAGCUGUUAUUGCUUGUUCAUAUUUUGCGGUAGCACCUAAGAUUUAAAAAAUCUUUCAACCCUUCUUUGGCUUUAGGAGAAGAGAAAGGGAUUUAUUAAAGAGGAUUCGUUCUUUUUAAUUGCCUUUUCACUUAAAUCUUUUCUUUUUGUUGGAGAAGGAAAAAUCCUUCUUAGAGGGACUAUCUGCGUUUUUACAACUAGCAGAUGGAAGCUCGAGGCAAUAACAGGUCUGUGAUGCCCUUAGAUGUCCUGGGCUGCACGCGUACUACACUGACGAAUUCAACAAGUGAUUUAAAUUUGGUAAUGAUUACUUGCUUGUUUUCUCCUUCGGGAGGAGAUGAGGGAAAGGAUUUUAUCAAAAACCUUGGCAGAAAUGUCUGGGUAAUCUCUUCAAAGUUCGUCGUGCUAGGGAUAGAUGAUUGUAAUUAUU